GGGGCGUUAGCUCAGUUGGUAGAGCAGCGGACUCUUAAUCCGUUUGUCAUAGGUUCGAUCCCUAUACGCCCUACCA
rnacentral:tRNA from 1 species